GACGAACGCUGGCGGCGUGCUUAACACAUGCAAGUCGAACGGAAAGGCCCUGCUUGCAGGGUACUCGAGUGGCGAACGGGUGAGUAACACGUGGGUGAUCUGCCCUGCACUUCGGGAUAAGCCUGGGAAACUGGGUCUAAUACCGGAUAGGAGCCAUUUUUAGUGUGAUGGUUGGAAAGUUUUUUCGGUGUAGGAUGAGCUCGCGGCCUAUCAGCUUGUUGGUGGGGUAAUGGCCUACCAAGGCGGCGACGGGUAGCCGGCCUGAGAGGGUGGACGGCCACAUUGGGACUGAGAUACGGCCCAGACUCCUACGGGAGGCAGCAGUGGGGAAUAUUGCACAAUGGGCGCAAGCCUGAUGCAGCGACGCCGCGUGGGGGAUGACGGCCUUCGGGUUGUAAACUCCUUUCGCUAGGGACGAAGCUUUAUGUGACGGUACCUAGAUAAGAAGCACCGGCUAACUAGGUG
rnacentral:rRNA from 1 species